rnacentral:tRNA from 1 species
AGCCUUGAGGUGUUCUACAUAUCAGAUUGCAAACCUGAAGAAGUAGGUUAGUUGCCUGCCGGGGCUU